rnacentral:rRNA from 1 species
AGAGUUUGAUCAUGGCUCAGAUUGAACGCUGGCGGCGCGCUUAACACAUGCAAGUCGAGCGAGAAAGCGGGGCAACCCGUGAGUACAGCGGCGUACGGGUGAGUAACACGUGGGUAAUCUACCUCCGAGUGGGGAAUAACCCUGGGAAACCGGGGCUAAUACCGCAUAAGCCUGGGAAGGGAAAGCAGCAAUGCGCUGGGAGAGGAGCCCGCGGCCGAUUAGCUAGUUGGUGAGGUAAGAGCUCACCAAGGCGACGAUCGGUAGCCGGCCUGAGAGGGCACACGGCCACACUGGCACUGAAACACGGGCCAGACUCCUACGGGAGGCAGCAGUGGGGAAUCUUGCACAAUGGGGGCAACCCUGAUGCAGCGACGCCGCGUGAGCGAUGAAGCCCUUCGGGGUGUAAAGCUCUUUCGGCAGGGACGAUAAUGACGGUACCUGCAGAAGCAGCUGCGGCUAACUACGUGCCAGCAGCCGCGGUAAUACGUAGGCAGCGAGCGUUGUUCGGAGUUACUGGGCGUAAAGGGUGCGUAGGCGGCCGAUUAAGUUUGUCGUGAAAUCUCCCGGCUCAACUGGGAGGGUGCGGCGAAUACUGACCGGCUCGAGUGUGGGAGAGGAGAGUGGAAUUCCUGGUGUAGCGGUGAAAUGCGUAGAUAUCAGAGGAACACCGGCGGUGUAGACGGCUCUCUGGACCAUAACUGACGCUGAGGCACGAAAGCGUGGGUAGCAAACAGGAUUAGAUACCCUGAUAGUCCACGCCCUAAACGAUGCACAUUUGGUGUGGGCAGUUCAUUCUGUCC